CUCAUUCCCAGGGGGAUGCAGCACUCCUCAAUGUGAUUUUCCCGCAUUCCCAGGGGGACGCAGCACUCCCUGAUGUGAUUUCCCCGUUCCCAGGGGGAUGCAGCACUCCCUGAUUUAAUUUUCCAUGUUCCCAGGGGGAUGCAGCCCUCAUUCCCCGUUCCCAGGAGGAUGCAGCCCUCAAUCCCCAUUCCCAGGAGGAUGCAGCCCUCAUUCCCCAUUCCCAGGGGAUGCAGCCCUCAUUCCCCAUUCCCAGGGGAUGCAGCCCUCAAUCCCCGUUCCCGGGUGGAUGCAGCCCUCAUUCCCCAUUCCCAGGGGGAUGCAGCCCUCAUUCCCCAUUCCCAGGGGAUGCAGCCCUCACCGAUGCCCAUGUGCCGGCCCUUCCUGCGGGCCAGCGUGUUCUUCCUGCAGCGGGCGCGGGAGUGCACGGUCACGGGCUUGCGGAUGAUCAGCCCAUCCUUGAUCAGCUUCCGGAUCUGCUGCCCUGCGAAAGCACCCGCGGCUCCUGGGGGGCUGCCGGGCCGGCAGGGACCCCUGCUGGGGGGGGGAGAGCACCCAACAGCACGGACAAGGCAGCCCCCACCUCAGUCUCCUCAUCCUCCUCCUCGCAGCCCUGUUCUCCUCACAGCCCUGUUCUCCUCCUCACAGCCCUGUUCUCCUCUUCUCCUCACAGCCCCGUUCUCCUCCUCCUCCUCCUCACAGCCCCGUUCUCCUCCUCCUCACAGCCCCGUUCUCCUCCUCUCCUCACAGCCCCGUUCUCC
rnacentral:lncRNA from 1 species